rnacentral:tRNA from 1 species
GUAUAGCUCAGUGGUAGAGUGCUUGGCAUGCAUGAGGUCCUGGGUUCAAUCCCCAGUAC